GGUCGCCUAGUCUAGCGGUUAUGAUUUCUCCUUUACAUGCUCAUCCCAAGAGAGAGGACAUUGGUCGGACGGAGAAGGUCGCAGGUUCGAUCCCUGCGGCGACCA
rnacentral:tRNA from 1 species